rnacentral:rRNA from 1 species
UACGUAGGGUGCAAGCGUUGUCCGGAAUUAUUGGGCGUAAAGAGCUCGUAGGCGGUCUGUCGCGUCGGCUGUGAAAAACCUGGGGCUCAACUCCGGGCCUGCAGCCGAUACGGGCUGACUAGAAUUCGGUAGGGGAGACUGGAAUUCCUGGUGUAGCGGUGAAAAUGCGCAGAUAUCAGGAGGAACACCGGUGGCGAAGGCGGGUCUCUGGGCAAUAACUGACGCUGAGGAGCGAAAAGCGUGGGGAGCGAACAGGG